rnacentral:rRNA from 1 species
AUUGAACGCUGGCGGCAGGCUUAACACAUGCAAGUCGAGCGGGGUGAUGGUGCUUGCACUAUCACUUAGCGGCGGACGGGUGAGUAAUGCUUAGGAAUCUGCCUAUUAGUGGGGGACAACAUCUCGAAAGGGAUGCUAAUACCGCAUACGUCCUACGGGAGAAAGCAGGGGAUCACUUGUGACCUUGCGCUAAUAGAUGAGCCUAAGUCGGAUUAGCUAGUGGGUGGGGUAAAGGCCUACCAAGGCGACGAUCUGUAGCGGGUCUGAGAGGAUGAUCUGCCACACUGGGACUGAGACACGGCCCAGACUCCUACGGGAGGCAGCAGUGGGGAAUAUUGGACAAUGGGGGGAACCCUGAUCCAGCCAUGCCGCGUGUGUGAAGAAGGCCUUAUGGUUGUAAAGCACUUUAAGCGAGGAGGAGGCUCUAUUGGUUAAUACCCAAGAUGAGUGGACGUUACUCGCAGAAUAAGCACCGGCUAACUCUGUGCCAGCAGCCGCCGUAA